rnacentral:siRNA from 1 species
UACUUUUUCAAUAAACCGACUCAU